rnacentral:rRNA from 1 species
GACGAACGCUGGCGGCGUGCUUAACACAUGCAAGUCGAGCGGAGCGGCGAACGGGUGAGUAACGCGUGAGUAACUGCCCCCCUCUCUGGGUUAACAGUUGGAAACGGCUGCUAAUACCGGAUAGUGGGGGAUGACUCGCGUCCUAUGAGCUUGUUGGUGGGGUAGUGGCCUACCAAGGCGACGACGGGUAGCCGGCCUGAGAGGGCGACCGGCCACAUUGAGCUGCGAUACGGCGCAAAAUCCUACGGGAGGCAAAAGGGGGGAAUAUUGCACAAUGGGGGAAACCAAGAUGCAGCAACGCGCGUGCGGGAUGACGGCCUUCGGGUUGUAAACCGCUUUGAGCCAUGACGCGGUAGUGGCAGAAGAAGCACCGGCUAACUACGUGCCAGCAGCCGCGGUAAUUC